GACGUAGGGGGCCAGCGUUGCUCGGAAUCACUGGGCGUAAAGGGUGCGUAGGCGGGGCUUUAAGUCAGGGGUGAAAUCCUGGAGCUCAACUCCAGAACUGCCUUUGAUACUGAAGAUCUUGAGUCCGGGAGAGGUGAGUGGAACUGCGAGUGUAGAGGUGAAAUUCGUAGAUAUUCGCAAGAACACCAGUGGCGAAGGCGGCUCACUGGCCCGGUACUGACGCUGAGGCACGAAAGCGUGGGGAGCAAACAGG
rnacentral:rRNA from 1 species